rnacentral:rRNA from 1 species
AGGACUAACGCUGGCGGCGUGCCUAACACAUGCAAGUCGAACGGGGGUAGCAAUACCCCAGUGGCAGACGGGUGAGUAACACGUGGUCAACCUACCUCUGUGUGGGGGAUAACUAGCCGAAAGGUUAGCUAAUACCGCAUACGAUCGUUUUGAGGCAUCUCGAGACGAUGAAAGGAGCAAUCCGCACGGAGAGGGGACUGCGUCCCAUUAGUUAGUUGGUGGGUAACGGCCUACCAAGACUCCGAUGGGUAGCUGGCUUGAGAGAGCGACCAGCCACACUGGAACUGAGACACGGUCCAGACUCCUACGGGAGGCAGCAGUGAGGAAUUUUCCGCAAUGGGCGAAAGCCUGACGGAGCGACGCCGCGUGUGGGAUGAAGGCCUCGGGUCGUAACCACUGUCGAAGGGGACGAUAUUGACGGUACCCUUGGAGGAAGCCCCGGCUAACUACGCGCCAGCAGCCGC